rnacentral:rRNA from 1 species
UCAAGAAUCUUCCUCAAUGGGCGAAAGCCUGAAGGAGCGACGCCGCGUGCACGAAGAAGCCCUUCGGGGUGUAAAGUGCUUUUAUCAGGGACGAAUCAAUGACGGUACCUGAUGAAUAAGGGGCUGCUAACCUCGUGCCAGCAGCAGCGGUAAUACGAGGGCCCCAAGCGUUAUCCGGAUUUAUUGGGCGUAAAGCGUCCGUAGGUGGUUUAUCGCAUCUCCUGUUAAAUCCCGAGGCUCAACCUCGGGUCAGCGGGAGAGAUGGACAAACUAGAGACCGGAAGAGGCAAACGGAAUUGCUGGUGUAGGGGUUAAAUCCAUUAAUAUCAGCAAGAACACCAAAUGCGAAGGCAGUUUGCUAGGACGGUUCUGACACUCAGUGGACGAAAGCGUGGGGAGCGAAUG